UAAUACGUAGGGGGCAAGCGUUGUCCGGAAUUAUUGGGCGUAAAGCGCGCGCAGGCGGUUUCUUAAGUCUGGUGUCUAAGUGCGGGGCUCAACCCCGUGAUGCACUGGAAACUGGGAGACUUGAGUGCAGAAGAGGAGAGCGGAAUUCCACGUGUAGCGGUGAAAUGCGUAGAGAUGUGGAGGAACACCAGUGGCGAAGGCGGCUCUCUGGACUGUAACUGACGCUGAGGCGCGAAAGCGUGGGGAGCAAACAGGAUUAGAUACCCUGGUAGUCCACGCCGUAAACGAUGAGUGCUAGGUGUUGGGGGGGUCCACCCCUCGGUGCCGAAGUCAACACAUUAAGCACUCCGCCUGGGGAGUACGGUCGCAAGACUGAA
rnacentral:rRNA from 1 species